CAUCCACACGCAUUCCCCGAAGGACCCUGACCGACCUCGUGUGCUUUUGUGAGAGGACCGUCUGGGGUCACAGGUGGUGUUUGUGGUCAUGGAAAAAGGAAAGCUAAUUGGCAUUGUCCUUCUGCUGGGGAAUUUCUGCCACCACCAAAGUGAGCCGGAGGGGUGGGGGUAGAUCUCAGUGGCAGAGCACGUGCUUAGCCUGCACGAGGUCCUGGGUUCAAUCCCCAGCACCUCCAUUAAAAUAAAUAAAUAAUUAUAUGGAGAUGGAUAUAUUU